UACGGAGGGAGCUAGCGUUGUUCGGAAUUACUGGGCGUAAAGCGCACGUAGGCGGCUUUGUAAGUUAGAGGUGAAAGCCCGGGGCUCAACCCCGGAAUUGCCUUUAAGACUGCAUCGCUUGAAUCCGGGAGAGGUGAGUGGAAGUUCCGAGUGAUAGAGGUGAAAGUUCGUAGAUAUUCGCAAGAACACCAGUGGCGAAGGCGGCUCACUGGCCCGAUACUGACGCGAGGCACGAAAG
rnacentral:rRNA from 1 species